CAGUGUAAUUGUUAUGAUGAUUUCUGAUAUGAGGUUCAGUUCUACGGUGGUGAUCGCAGGGUGUGCACAGGUCAAGUGCCACUAUGACCCUCCAGAAAAUAACGAGGACAGGGGAUGAUCGUUCAGGUAUUUAAUGGCAGAUUUAGCGUGGGUGUGGGUAUGUGUGUGGGUGGUUCAGUCUUAUGGACGCACACUCUCAUUGAACCCACAUAAACUGCUCCCGAGCAUAACUUGUGAUUCACACUGCCUCCAUGAACACCAUUUUUCAUCCCAGUCAAAACAUUACUCACAAAACGGCCGUGCCCUCUAGUGGCGAGGCAGAAAACUGCAUCACAGUCCUGCCUUCAGAACAGUAAUGGUGACCCCAUCCUGAACACAGAAACUAAAAUCAGCACGUUAUAGGGUGCAAAAUUUUCAUUUUCACUUUUUUUUUUUUGCAUCCCUUAGAUAAGUGAAGAAACUUACAACGGAAGUAAUGUCAUACUUCCAGAGAUGGGAGGUAACGAAGUAGAUUUUUCAGCAUCCGUCCAUCCAUUCGUGGCAGGGGAGUCUGAGCCUGUUAACCACCAAUUAAGGCCGUACCCAUGAUAACCUCUGAUACCAGCAAAGGGGUGUCACUCCACCUAUGGUGCCACUGCUUCUCUAAUCCAACAUUAAGGUUAUGCUGUAAACAGGGUAAAUAAUGACAGAUUUGAGCAGCGCUCGCUCCAGAGAUGAUCCAGAAGUAGCUGGCUGCGGUGCAGACAUUAUUUUCUCAUCAGCUGAAGUUUAUGCGAGGUGGCCCUCACAGUCACUGUGGCUUUCACUGGAGGCUAGGUUAGUUGUGGCAUCUCUCAGAAAUAGAUCCGGCAUGUUGUCAAUGCUGCAGGAAGCCUGGCCGAAACCUGAAGAUGCUGAGCAGAGCUGGCAGGGGAUGUGUUGGCGUGAUAAUUGUAAUUAUAAGUCAGAGGAAAAUAGGUGUGGCUUUUGCAGCAGUUUGAUGAGUUCAAAGAAACAAGCCCCGGCAUGAAGAGGAAAUCAUGAGUCAGAAGUACAGAGAAAUGUUUGCAGGAUUUCACAAAGGCAAUCUGUGCCCAACGCCGUGAUGUCUUUCCUGGGUUUUAUCUCUUCUAUAUCGCAGUCUGGAAUGCAUUGCUAAGCCCGGCCACCAAGGGCUAGCAUAUAGCUCUCUCUGCAGGCUUUGUACAGGAUGAAGAAGUCAUAAUCCUCAAACAGACUUAAAUUCCUCCAGAAAGGCUCUUGAUCCUGAAUCCACUCAUUUUCUUCAAACAACUCAGCCCAAAAGAGAAGGGAUAUUUGGGCAUGGCUGAAAUCCUUGAUUGAAAUCUGCUACAAGUGGGCACAGAUACACAUGUGGGUCGAUACACAUGCACACAAAUAAGCCUAACACACAAAAAUACAUAUGCACAUACACCUCCCCAAACGUCCCUUGCUGUCGGUGAGAGCCUAGGCUGUUGAGAGGGCCUCUCUGAGCUCUUAUUAAAAGGUAAACUUCUCUAAGGCCAGGGAAUCAUGUCAAUCACAGGUUGUGUUUUCGCACCGAGCCCAAAGGCUGCUCUCUCCACCCUGUCAGACGCUGUUAUCACCCUCAAAGCCAUAUCAGAAUGCUGUUUGUUCUGCGCUUUAGUUUCACCCACACGGCGGAUUCAAAAAGGUACAGGUCUAUUUGAUAGUGUAUAUUUCAUUGCCGGAGAGAGACUGUGUUUGUCUUGCUGUGUUUGUCAGCUCAUAUUUGAGCUGAGGGUUCCUAUUAAAACUAAACACCAUAUCAGAGGAAUAUUGCCACCGCUAGGUUCUUUUAAAUCGCAUAUUGAGCCCAUGGAGUGUGGAAGCAAUUUAGUUGUAGCAUAGUUUAUAAGUGUGUCUGUGCUUGUGAUGUUUCUAUUUACUCUUGAUUCUAAUUUAUUUACACACAGCAGCCUCUCGCUGCAUUUUUCAUAUACUGUUAUAAUUACUUUCGUUAUAUUGUCACUUCCAGUUCUCUAAAAAUAUUACCUUGUUUGCAUUUUCACUUAUUUAAUAAAUCCCUUAGAGAGUCAUGGCUAUUUUCAUUAAGCAGGAUUGAUCAAGUCCUCAAGGCAGCAUCAGCUAACAGUUAAAAACUUCAUGGGCUUUCACCGCUAUACUUCACUUGCAGUGUGCUGUGCAUUAGUGCUGGGCAGAAAUUGACAUCACAGUAAUUUUUUAAGGUUCUGGCAGUUUCAGUGUGUCACAAUACUGUUGUUAUUAUUAUUAUUACUAUUCCUGCAAAAGAGUUGGUUUAUAAAGGUUUACAAUGGCUCACUAAACAUUUGAAUGUCAUCAUAAAAGAAAUGAAACAUAAAUAGCUUAAAAUAAAAUCACCCAAGAAAACUCAUAAAUAUUCUACCCUGAGUCUUUUAUCAAAAAAUAAAUGUUUGACACAAAGCUUAGCCUUCUGCCUGUUAUGCUUUUUUUGGUUAAAUGUAAUGCCAUAUAGUGCCACGUCCUCUAGAGCCCAGUUGAUACAGAAUUUUUACGACCGAUACUGAUACCGAUAUUUGGUGAUUUUUGAAAUCAGAUAUUAUGAAAUAUAGGACUAUUUUUUUUUUCUUAACUGAUUUUUAUAAACAGAUUUCUCUUACAUUUUUUAAGUGUAGCUUUUAUUAUUAUUGUUAUUCUACCUGCUUCUAUUCAGAUUAGCUGAUUAUUGUGCUUGUGGCAUGCAAAAACAUGUGAUGCCAAUAGUGAAGUGCCCUCUGGUGGACGAAAUAUGCAACAACACUGAUGGCAUUGUUGAGAGACCUUCUCCUUGUUUCUUCUUUACUUUCAUUUAUUGGCAGUUAAAUGCUGAUACCAAUAGAUCAGUAAAUGAAUAUUGGCUGAUAAUAUCAGCACAGAUGCA